CCUACGGGUGGCAGCAGUGGGGAAUAUUGCACAAUGGGGGAAACCCUGAUGCAGCCACGCCGCGUGAAGGAAGACGGCUCUCUGAUUUUUAACCUCUUUUUUUAGUGAAGAAAAAUGACGGUAGCUCAGGAGCAAGCCACGGCUAACUACGUGCCAGCAGCCGCGGUAAUACGUAGGUGGCAAGCGUUGUCCGGAAUUACUGGGUUUAAAGGGAGCGCAGGCGGGAAGCUAAGUCAGCUGUGAAAACUACGGGCUUAACUUGUAGACUGCAGUUGAAACUGGUGUUCUAGAGUGAAGUAGAGGUAGGCGGAAUGCGGGGUGUAGCGGUGAAAUGCAUAGAUAUUCGGCAGAACACCGAUGGCGAAGGCAGCAUACUGGGCUUUAACUGACGCUGAGGCUCGAAAGUGUGGGGAGCAAACAGGAUUAGAUACCCUAGUAGUC
rnacentral:rRNA from 1 species